rnacentral:rRNA from 1 species
AUUGAACGCUGGCGGCAGGCCUAACACAUGCAAGUCGAACGAGUGGCGGACGGGUGAGUAAUGUCUGGGAAACUGCCCGAUGGAGGGGGAUAACUACUGGAAACGGUAGCUAAUACCGCAUACCAUCGGAUGUGCCCAGAUGGGAUUAGCUAGUAGGUGGGGUAACGGCUCACCUAGGCGACGAUACCUAGCUGGUCUGAGAGGAUGACAAGCAAAACGGGAACUGAGAAACGGUACAGACGCCUAAGGGAGGCAGCAGUGGGGAAUAUUGCACAAUGGGCGCAAGCAUGAUGCAGCCAUGCCGCGGGGAGUAAGAAGGCCUUCGGGGUGUAAAGUACUUUCAGCGAGGAGGCGUUACUCGCAGAAGAAGCACCGGCUAACUCCGUGCCAGCAGCCGCGGUAAUAC